rfam:Stomoxys calcitrans breed 8C7A2A5H3J4 unplaced genomic scaffold Scaffold60, whole genome shotgun sequence.
UUUAUGAUGAAAUUAAUUGGUCCGUGUUUAUGAAUUUACAUUGAUUAUCAACAUCCAAUUACUGAAUAAG